rnacentral:rRNA from 1 species
GACGAACGCUGGCGGCGUGCUUAACACAUGCAAGUCGAACGGAAAGGCCCUGCUUUUGUGGGGUGCUCGAGUGGCGAACGGGUGAGUAACACGUGAGUAACCUGCCCUUGACUGUGGGAUAACUUCAGGAAACUGGGGCUAAUACCGGAUAGGAGCUCCUGCUGCAUGGUGGGGGUUGGAAAGUUUCGGCGGUUGGGGAUGGACUCGCGGCUUAUCAGCUUGUUGGUGGGGUAGUGGCUUACCAAGGCUUUGACGGAUAGCCGGCCUGUGAGGGUGACCGGCGACAUUGGGACUGAGAUACGGCCCAGACGGCUACGGGAGGCAGCAGUGGGAAAUAUUGCACAAUGGGCGGAAGCCUGAUGCAGCAGCGCCGCGUGCGGGAUGACGGCCUUCGGGUUGUAAACCGCUUUCGCCUGUGACGAAGCGUGAGUGACGGUAAUGGGUAAAGAAGCACCGGCUAACUACGUG